CGUGUAGGCGGAUUUUCAAGUCGGAUGUGAAAACCGGCAGCUUAACUGCCGGCCUGCAUCCGAAACUGUUAGUCUUGAGUACGGAAGAGGAAAGCGGAAUUCCAGGUGUAGCGGUGGCAUGCGUAGAUAUCUGGAAGAACACCGGUGGCGAAGGCGGCUUUCUGGUCCGAUACUGACGCUGAGGCGCGAAAGCUAGGGGAGCAAACA
rnacentral:rRNA from 1 species